rfam:Valsa mali strain 03-8 chromosome 9, whole genome shotgun sequence.
ACAUGCGACCAUAUCCAGAAGAAAAUACGGGAUCCCGUCCGCUCUCCCUUAGUCAAGCUUCUGAGAGGCAGAUUAGUAGUUGGGUCGGUGACGACCAGCGAAUCCCUGCUGUUGCAUGUU